rnacentral:rRNA from 1 species
AUACGAAAGGUGCAAGCGUUGUUCGGAUUUACUGGGCGUAAAGAGAUCGUAGGUGGUUUGUUAAGUUGGAUGUGAAAUCCCGGGGCUCAACCUCGGAACUGCAUCCAAAACUGGCAGGCUUGAGUUCGGGAGGGGUAAGCGGAAUUCCGUGUGUAGCAGUGAAAUGCGUAGAUAUACGGAGGAACACCUGAGGCGAAGGCGGCUUACUGGACCGAUACUGACACUGAGGAUCGAAAGCGUGGGUAGCAAACAGGAUUAGAAACCCUAGUAGUAC